ACGUAGGGGGCAAGCGUUAUCCGGAUUUACUGGGUGUAAAGGGAGCGUAGACGGAUGGACAAGUCUGAUGUGAAAGGUUGGGGCUCAACCCCGGGACUGCAUUGGAAACUGCCCGUCUUGAGUGCCGGAGAGGUAAGCGGAAUUCCUAGUGUAGCGGUGAAAUGCGUAGAUAUUAGGAGGAACACCAGUGGCGAAGGCGGCUUACUGGACGGUAACUGACGUUGAGGCUCGAAAGCGUGGGGAGCAAACAG
rnacentral:rRNA from 1 species